CUGUGUGUAGAGAGAUGGCAGUGUAAUGUUAGCUGGAAGGAAAUUUAGAAAACACCGGCUGACAUACACUUGCCCCCUUUCUUCAUAUGAG